GAGGAAGGAAAAGAAAUUAACUAAGAUUCCUCUAGUAGCGGCGAGCGAAACAGGAUAAGCCCAGCACUAAGCCCUCCAGUAUUAAUUGCUGGCAGGGGAUGCAGUGUAUGGAAGGUCUAUUAUCUUAUAUAAUAGUAAUACGUUCAAGUCCAUCUUGAAUGGGGCCAUUUUACCCAUAGAGGGUGCCAGGCCCGUAGUAGCUAUUACUUGUAUAAGAAGAUCUUUCCAAAGAGUCGUGUUGCUUGAUAGUGCAGCACUAAGAUGGUGGUAAACUCCAUCUAAGGCUAAAUAUAACCACGAGACCGAUAGCGAACAAGUACCGUGAGGGAAAGUUGAAAAGCACUCUGAAUAGAGAGUUAAAUAGUACGUGAAACCGCUUAGGGGUUAAGCCCGAUGAACCUGAAUAUCUGAAUUGGGAAAUUCAAUACUAUUUUGUUUAUUUAUUUUAUAAGUAAACGAUGGUAUGCACUUUUCCCAUAGUAAGACAUUGCGAUCCAUUAGUAGUCUUUUUAAGACGGUUUAUUAUACGGCCCGUGUAAUUAGUUUAUUAAAUGUUAAUAGCAUUUGUUAUUAUGUUAAUAAUAUUAUAUGGUGUCCUAAUAAACAGCUGAUGGAGCUUAAAAAUCAUGCUUGCAUGUAUUAUGUAUCACGGUUUAUGUAAAUUUAAUUUAUGUAGAUGCAGUGGUCGCAUGUAUUUGAUUAGCAAUGCGAUAGAUUUGGGAUACCUUCGGGACCCGUCUUGAAACACGGACCAAGAAGUCUAACAUGUGUGUAAGUCAUUGGGUAUUUCUUGUUGAAACCUAAAGGCGUAAUUAAAAUAACUAUUUUAAUGGGAUUACAAGCAAUUUUUUUAAGAUUGUUUCUCCAUCCCGGGGCGUUCCAUAUGAACAUGAUUUAAGCAAUUAGAUCCUCUGUUCUGGAGCGUACCUUGAACAUACAUGCU
rnacentral:rRNA from 1 species